AUUGAACGCUGGAGGCAGGCCUAAAACAUGCAAGUCGAGCGAGCGGCGGACGGGGGAGUAAUGUCUGGGAAACUGCCUGAUGGAGGGGGAUAACUACUGGAAACGGUAGCUAAUACCGAAUACCAGAAGAUGUGCCCAGAUGGGAGUAGCUGGUAGGUGGGGUAACGGCCAACCUAGGCGACGAUCCCUCGCUGGUCUGAGAGGAUGACCAGCCACACUGGAACUGAGACACGGUCCAGACUCCUACGGGAGGCAGCAGUGGGGAAUAUUGCACAAUGGGCACAAGCCUGAUGCAGCCAUGCCGCGUGUGUGACGAAGGCCUUCGGGUUGUAAAGCACUUUCAGCGGGGAGGCGUUACCCGCAGAAGAAGCACCGGCUAACGCCGUGCCAGCAGCCGCGGUAAUAC
rnacentral:rRNA from 1 species